rnacentral:rRNA from 1 species
GCCAGACUCCUACGGGAGGCAGCAGUGGGGAAUAUUGCACAAUGGGGGAAACCCUGAUGCAGCGACGCCGCGUGAGUGAAGAAGUAUUUCGGUAUGUAAAGCUCUAUCAGCAGGGAAGAAAAUGACGGUACCUGACUAAGAAGCCCCGGCUAACUACGUGCCAGCAGCCGCGGUAAUACGUAGGGGGCAAGCGUUAUCCGGAUUUACUGGGUGUAAAGGGAGCGUAGACGGCAGUGCAAGUCCGGAGUGAAAGCCCGGGGCUCAACCCUGGGACUGCUCUGGAAACUGUAAAGCUGGAGUGCGGGAGGGGCAGGCGGAAUUCCUGGUGUAGCGGUGAAAUGCGUAGAUAUCAGGAGGAACACCGGCGGCGAAGGCGGCCUGCUGGACCGUAACUGACGUUGAGGCUCGAAAGCGUGGGGAGCAAACAGGAUUAGAUACCCCGGUAA